rnacentral:rRNA from 1 species
UAUCUCUGUAGAGUCUGCAUAUCAAUAAGCGGAGGAAAAGAAACUAACUAGGAUUCCCUCAGUAACGGCGAGUGAAGCGGGAAGAGCUCAAAUUUGAAAUCUUCAAGGUUCUACCUUGACGAAUUGUAGUUUAAAGAAGUGUUUUCUGUUGGAGUUUUGGUAUAAGUUCUUUGGAAUAGGACAUCAUAGAGGGUGAGAAUCCCGUAUUUGACCAUUAUUUCCAGCUUUGUGAUACACUUUCAAAGAGUCGGAUUGUUUGGGAAUGCAGUCCAAAAUGGGUGGUAAAUUUCAUCUAAAGCUAAAUAUUGGCGAGAGACCGAUAGCGAACAAGUACCGUGAGGGAAAGAUGAAAAGAACUUUGAAAAGAGAGUUAAACAGUACGUGAAAUUGUCAAAAGGGAAGCGUUUGACACCAGUGUUGUUUUCUCGAAAAUCAAUUAAAAAAAGUUGGAUUUUGUAUUGUUAAGACCUUAUCAGCUUACUGUACUCUUUUCUUGCUUUUUUUAAUGCACUUUUCGUUUAACAAGUCAACAUCAAUUUCUUUUGUUGUAAAAGAGUCAUUGGAAGGUGGCUUUCACUUCGGUAGAAAGUGUUUAUAGCCUUUGGCCUCUGCAAUCGGAGAGAUUGAGGUCUGCAGCGUAGAUCCUUCGGGGCUAGAUACGUAGAUGCUAAGUUAUAGUUUUUUAUAGACAACUUGUUGACUAUAAUUAAUCAUGUAGCUUACUCGUUUGCGCUAUUUUACCUACGCUUAGGAUGUUGACGAUCAGCUGAGCGCG